rnacentral:rRNA from 1 species
UACGGGGGGUGCAAGCAUUAAUCGGAUUUAUUGGGCGUAAAGGGCGCGUAGGCGGGGAAGAAAGUCAGAUGUGAAAUCCCGGGGCUCAACCUCGGAACUGCAUAUGAAACUUCUUUUCUAGAGUGUAGGCGGGGAAAACGGAAUUCCACAAGUAGCGGUGAAAUGCGUAGAGAUGUGGAAGAACACCGGUGGCGAAGGCGGUUUUCUAGCUUAUGUCUGACGCUGAUGCGCGAAAGCAAGGGGAGCAAACAGG